rnacentral:rRNA from 1 species
CCCCGCUGAGGAGCGAAAGGGCGGGGAGCAAACCGGCUUAGAUACCCUGGUAGUCCACCCCGUAAACGUUGGGAACUAGUUGUGGGGACCAUUCCACGGUUUCCGUGACGCAGCUAACGCAUUAAGUUCCCCGCCUGGGGAGUACGGCCGCAAGGCUAAAACUCAAAGGAAUUGACGGGGACCCGCACAAGCGGCGGAGCAUGCGGAUUAAUUCGAUGCAACGCGAAGAACCUUACCAAGGCUUGACAUAUACGAGAACGCUGCAGAAAUGUGGAACUCUUUGGACACUCGUAUACAGGUGGUGCAUGGUUGUCGUCAGCUCGUGUCGUGAGAUGUUGGGUUAAGUCCCGCAACGAGCGCAACCCUCGUUCUAUGUUGCCAGCACGUAAUGGUGGGAACUCAUGGGAUACUCCGGGCAACUCGGAGGAAGGCG